AAGUCGAGGGGAAACGAUAUUGGAAGCUUGCUUCCGAUAGGCGGCGACCGGCGGAAGGGUGCGUAACGCGUGAGCGACAUGCCCGUUGCCCGGGGACAACCGGUGGAAACGCCGACUAAUCCCCGAUGGGAUAUUGUGCCGCAUGGCACGAUAUUGAAAGUUACGGCGGCGACGGAUUGGCUCGCGUCCGAUUAGCUGGUUGGCGGGGUAACGGCCCACCAAGGCUGCGAUCGGUAGGGGUUCUGAGAGGAAGGUCCCCACAAUGGAACUGAGACACGGUCCAUACUCC
rnacentral:rRNA from 1 species